CAGCCGCCGCGGUAAUGCCAAGGGGGCUAGCGUUGCUCGGAAUGACUGGGCGUAAAGGGCGCGUAGGCGGAUUGUUUAGUUAGGCGUGAAAUUCCUGGGCUUAACCUGGGGACUGCGCUUAAUACAGGCAGUCUAGAGUGAGGAAGAGGGUUGUGGAAUUCCCAGUGUAGAGGUGAAAUUCGUAGAUAUUGGGAAGAACACCGGUGGCGAAGGCGGCAACCUGGUCCUUGACUGACGCUGAGGCGCGAAAGCGUGGGGAGCAAACAGGAUUAGAUACCCGUGUAGUCCCUGUCUCUUAUAC
rnacentral:rRNA from 1 species